UAUAUCCUGCUUCGUUCGUGAUAUUUCAGUUAAUUAAACCCACAAUUAUUAAAAGGAGUCCAAUUACAGUUAAGGGAUACAGACCUCCCCGGCUGCCCUGAGUUUGAGCCGCUAUACGCGUCUCACCACGGCAUACCGGGAAGUUGGGAGUACAAAUUGGCAGUGGAGGACACCUACCUUGCGAGAGCAGGGUUUUUAAUUGCUGAAUACACGGCGAAGCGGGUUUUUU
rnacentral:other from 1 species